rnacentral:rRNA from 1 species
UACGUAGGGGGCAAGCGUUGUCCGGAAUCAUUGGGCGUAAAGAGCGUGUAGGCGGCUCGGUAAGUCCGCUGUGAAAGUCCAGGGCUCAACCCUGGAAUGCCGGUGGAAACUGUCGAGCUAGAGUCCGGAAGAGGCGAGUGGAAUUCCCGGUGUAGCGGUGAAAUGCGCAGAUAUCGGGAAGAACACCUAUGGCGAAGGCAGCUCUCUGGGACGGUACUGACGCUGAGACGCGAAAGCGUGGGGAGCGAACAGG